rnacentral:rRNA from 1 species
CCUUACAACAAACAAACCAAAGUUUGACCUCAAAUCAGGUAGGAUUACCCGCUGAACUUAAGCAUAUCAAUAAGCGGAGGAAAAGAAACCAACAGGGAUUGCCUUAGUAACGGCGAGUGAAGCGGCAAAAGCUCAAAUUUGAAAUCUAGCACUUUCAGUGUUCGAGUUGUAAUUUGAAGAAGGUAUCUUUGGAGUUGGCCCCCGUCUAUGUUCCUUGGAACAGGACGUCACAGAGGGUGAGAAUCCCGUGCGAUGGGGAGUCCAAUUCUUUGUAAAGUUCCUUCGAAGAGUCGAGUUGUUUGGGAAUGCAGCUCUAAGUGGGUGGUAAAUUCCAUCUAAAGCUAAAUAUUGGCGAGAGACCGAUAGCGAACAAGUACAGUGAUGGAAAGAUGAAAAGAACUUUGAAAAGAGAGUGAAAAAGUACGUGAAAUUGUUGAAAGGGAAGGGCUUUUGAUCAGACUUGGUGUUUAGUACUCUCUACUCCUUGUGGGUGGGGCUCUUGCUUUAUACUGGGCCAGCAUCGGUUUGGAUGGUAGGAUAAUGACAUUGGAACGUGGCUCCAUUCGUGGAGUGUUAUAGCCCUUGUUGAUACUACCUAUCUAGACCGAGGACUGCGUCUUUUGACUAGGAUGCUGGCGUAAUGAUUAAAAGCCGCCCGUCUUGAAACACGGACCAAGGAGUCUAACGUCUAUGCGAGU